AUUGAACGCUGGCGGAAUGCUUUACACAUGCAAGUCGAACGGUAGAGGGGGCAACCCCUCGAGAGUGGCGAACGGGUGAGUAAUAUAUCGGAACGUGCCCAGUCGUGGGGGAUAACGUAGCGAAAGUUACGCUAAUACCGCAUACGAUCUAAGGAUGAACGCGGGGGAUCGCAAGACCUCGCGCGAUUGGAGCGGCCGAUAUCAGAUUAGGUAGUUGGUGGGGUAAAGGCCCACCAAGCCAACGAUCUGUAGCUGUUCUGAGAGGACGACCAGCCACACUGGAACUGAGACACGGUCCAGACUCCGACGGUAGGCAGCGGUGGGGAAUUUUGGACAAUGGGCGAAAGCCUGAUCCAGCCAUUCCGCGUGCAGGAUGAAGGCCCUCGGGUUGUAGACUGCUUUUGUACAGAGCGAAAAGGUUUCUACUAAUACUAGGAGCUCAUGACGGUACUGUAAGAAUAAGCACCGGCUAACUACGUGCCAGCCGCCGCAGUAA
rnacentral:rRNA from 1 species